GUGUAGAGGGAAAGCCGAGUGAUGUAUGUAUAUUAAGCCGUAAAGCCUCUAUCGGGCCCUGCUUCAAGAAUAUGGCACCCCAUAAGGGUCCCUCUGGAAUCACUAUAUGCUUACCAAAGAAAUCAUUGAAAUGUGUGAAUCAACCAUCUGGAAUCAAUGUCAAUAUAUCAAGGAAAGGCUUAGGAAAAUCUAAAUCAACGGCCAAUGAAAUCUGCCCAAUUGAAAGAGAGCAAACACUUAAUAUAGAGAAGCGAUCCGAAAUUAAAAACAGUGAUGCUCUGAGGGUUUUUUAUGAUAGCGUCAAA